rnacentral:rRNA from 1 species
AAGGUAGCGAAAUUCCUUGUCGGGUAAGUUCCGACCUGCACGAAUGGCGUAACGACUUCCCCACUGUCUCGACCAGGAGCUCGGCGAAAUUGCAGUACGAGUAAAGAUGCUCGUUAAGCGCAGAAGGACGAAAAGACCCCGGGACCUUUACUAUACCUUGGUAUUGGCGUUAGGCGCGGAUUGUGUAGCAUAGGCGGGAGGCUUCGAAGCAUGGGCGCCAGCCCGUGUGGAGCCGCAAGGUGAAAUACCGCUCUGUUCUCGUUUGACGUCUAACCUCGAACAGUCAUCCUGUUCAGGGACAGUGCCUGGCGGGUAGUUUAACUGGGGCGGUUGCCUCCCAAAGAGUAACGGAGGCGCUCAAAGGUCCGCUCAGCCCGGUUGGCAAUCGGGUUUCGAGUGUAAUCGCACAAGCGGGCUUGACUGCGAGAACGACGGUUCGGGCAGGGACGAAAGUCGGAGAUAGUGAUCCGGUGCCGGCGCACGGGCGCGGCAUCGCUCAACGGAUAAAAGGUACCCCGGGGAUAACAGGCUGAUCAUUCCCAAGAGUCCAUAUCGACGGGAUGGUUUGGCACCUCGAUGUCGGCUCGUCGCAUCCUGGGGCUGGAGCAGGUCCCAAGGGUUCGGCUGUUCGCCGAUUAAAGCGGCACGCGAGCUGGGUUCAGAACGUCGUGAGACAGUUUGGUCUCUAUCCUCUGCGCUCGUUGGAAUCCUGAGGAGGCCUGCCCAUAGUACGAGAGGACCUGGGUGGACGGACCUCUGGUAUGCCGGUUGUCGCGCCAGCGGCAUGGCCGGUUGGCUACGUUCGGGAGGGAUAACCGCUGAAAGCAUCUAAGCGGGAAGCCUGCUCCAAGAUUAGGAUUCCUUGACGCUCCCCGGAGCGUUUGUAGCCCGCAUGUUGAACACGUGUUCGAUAGGCCGGAGGUGGAAGCCCCGCGAGGGGUGGAGCCGACCGGUACUAACGGACGAAAGGCAACACCAA